UACAGAGGGGGCAAGCGUUGUUCGGAAUUACUGGGCGUAAAGCGUGCGCAGGCGGUUUUGUAAGCCAGAUGUGAAAUCCCCGGGCUUAACCUGGGAAUGGCAUUUGGGACUGCAAGGCUGGAGUUUGGCAGAGGAGACUGGAAUUCCCGGUGUAGCAGUGAAAUGCGUAGAUAUCGGGAGGAAUACCGAUGGCGAAGGCAGGUCUCUGGGCUAUAGCUGACGCUCAUGCACGAAAGCGUGGGGAGCAAACAGG
rnacentral:rRNA from 1 species